rnacentral:lncRNA from 1 species
GAUCCUGAUAAUUACCAUCUCAUACAUCAGUUUUCUCUCCCUGGUAAUAUAAUAGCGCAGCUAAUUUCCUGAGAGCUAUUACCCCCAGUACAGACCAACACACAGACAGUGUGAGGCUGACUGACAGCUCCAGUCCCAACCAGGCGAUGGGAGAAUUACUUGCUUGGCUGUGGUGCAUCCAACAGCGUGCCCUGAUCCCACAGAGCAGCCCUGGGCGGGAACCACACAAGAUAUUUUUUGGGGCCAGGAGGGACCAUUAGAUCAUCCGUUCUGGCCUCCUGCACAACACAUGCCGCAGAAUCUCAUCCAAAAAGCUUGUACUCUUAAGGGUCUGCAGCCUCGGUGUAUGAUAUCAAAACUGAAAUCAGGCCCAGCAGUGUUCUCCGCUAAACUGGGCCAAGAAGCAUAAUAAAGAUUUGGCCUUGCUAUAAAAAUGUGCCGUGCUGUACUGCUACUCUGCUUAUUCCAUGCUGGCUUCCGGGCUUCUAAUAAAGGAACAGGCAUUGGGCAAAGCACCCAGGGUUCAAAGAUUUGUUUCACGCCUUGUGUUGAGUCCGGAGCGCGCUGUCAAGAAACUGGGGCACCCUGCCCUUCAGGUGGGAGCACUUCAGAGGUGGCCGAGGACAAUUCCAGCAUCCACGGGGCUCUUUGAAUCCUUCACAACAAAACUCGUCAUUCAAAUGUGUCUUUAUUAGUAGUUAUUAAUAUUUUUAGAGAAUUGCUCCAUCCUUUUCACCAUCUGUCCUAAUUCUGCUCCUUCUCCCUCCAUGCACAGCACCGAUCUGUUCCCCCCUCUAUUCCCCUUUGUGUAGAUCAGAAAGAAAGGAAAGUUUGUAUUUGUUCAUCGGUGGUUGUGAGGGUGCCCAUGGGAAGCGAGAGCUUUUGGAAGGUCAGGGAACAAACUCUGUGUUGUGCUGACACAACUGCACCUCACCACUCCCAGCAAUACUGUGUGCCCCGAGCUGAGGCCAUGCUCCUGGGGCAGUGAGGAGGGCCCCUCUGGGCACCCCACUGCAGAUGUCCCUUUGGGGAGGCAUCGUGCUGAGGGGCUUGGAGCUGAAAGAAAGAGCAAGAACUGCUCUGCCAAUGAUACCAACCAUCCAAGCAAAGAAAGAGCAGAGAAGCGGGAUGGCACCCCUGUGCAGGCAGGGUGAAGAAGGAAUAAAACCCACUGAGGUUCCACCACCAGGUCAGGAGCUAAGACAGCCCCUAAUUCAGGGUCAUGCAAACAGAAGCUAAAUUAAUAUGAACUGCUGAAAGACUCACACAGUCUGCUCUUUUUUUCCCCUAACUCUCCUGCAAGGUUUUUUUGUGUGUGUGUUUUUAAUUUUUAUUUUUUGCAUUAUUUUAUUUUACUAUUAUUUCUUUCUGGUGAGUAAAUCUUAUUAUUAUAGUUCUAACCUUCAUUACAGUGGCUUUGUGC